rnacentral:rRNA from 1 species
UACGGAGGAGGCAAGCGUUAUCCGGAAUUAUUGGGCGUAAAGCGUCCGCAGGUGGCUAUGUAAGUCUGCUGUUAAAGAGUGAGGCUCAACCUCAUAAGAGCAGUGGAAACUACAUAGCUAGAGUGCGUUCGGGGCAGAGGGAAUUCCUGGUGUAGCGGUGGAAUGCGCAGAUAUCAGGAAGAACACCAACGGCGAAGGCAGCUCGCUGGGACGGUACUGACGCUGAGACGCGAAAGCGUGGGGAGCGAACAGG